AUGGCAAAGUAGCCAAAACCGGAACGGAUAAACGCUGAAGGCAUCUAAGCGUGAAGCCGCCCUCAAGACUAGAUUUCCCAUGCCUAAAAGGUAGUAAGGCCCCUUGUAGACUACAAGGUAGAUAGGCGAGAGGUGUAAGUGCGGCAACGCAUUCAGCUGACUCGUACUAAUAGGCCGAGGGCUUGACCUU
rnacentral:rRNA from 1 species